rnacentral:rRNA from 1 species
CAGUAGCCGCGGUAAUACGUAGGUGGCAAGCGUUGUCCGGAAUUAUUGGGCGUAAAGGGCUCGCAGGCGGUUUCUUAAGUCUGAUGUGAAAGCCCCCGGCUCAACCGGGGAGGGUCAUUGGAAACUGGGAAACUUGAGUGCAGAGGAGGAGAGUGGAAUUCCACGUGUAGCGGUGAAAUGCGUAGAGAUGUGGAGGAACACCAGUGGCGAAGGCGACUCUCUGGUCUGUAACUGACGCUGAGGAGCGAAAGCGUGGGGAGCGAACAGGAUUAGAUACCCGAGUAGUCCCUGUCUCUUAUAC